rnacentral:rRNA from 1 species
GACGAACGCUGGCGGCGUGCUUAACACAUGCAAGUCGAACGGAAAGGCCCUGCUUUUGUGGGGUGCUCGAGUGGCGAACGGGUGAGUAACACGUGAGUAACCUGCCCUUGACUUUGGGAUAACUUCAGGAAACUGGGGCUAAUACCGGAUAGGAGCUCCUGCUGCAUGGUGGGGGUUGGAAAGUUUCGGCGGUUGGGGAUGGACUCGCGGCUUAUCAGCUUGUUGGUGGGGUAGUGGCUUACCAAGGCUUUGACGGGUAGCCGGACUGAGAGGGUGACCGGCCACAUUGGGACUGAGAUACGGCCCAGACUACUACGGGAGGCAGCAGUGGGGAAUAUUGCACAAUGGGCGGAAGACUGAUGCAGAAACGCCGCGUGCGGGAUGACGGACUUCGGGUUGUAAACCGAUUUCGCCUGUGACGAAGCGUGAGUGACGGUAAUGGGUAAAGAAGCACCGGCUAACUACGUG